rnacentral:rRNA from 1 species
GAUGAACGCUGGCGGCGUGCCUAAUACAUGCAAGUCGAGCGAACAGACGAGGAUCUUGCUCCUCUGACGUUAGCGGAGGACGGGUGAGUAACGCGUGGAUAACCUACCUAUAAGAGUGGGAUAACUUCGGGAAACCGGCGCUUAUACCGGAUAAUAUAUUGAACCGCGUGGUUCAAUGGUGAAAGACGGUGUUGGUGGCACUUAUCGAGGGUUCCGCGCCGCAUUAGGUAGUUGGGAAGGUAACGGCCUACCAAGGCAACCAUGCGUAGCCGAGGGCCGAGGGGGGUCGGCCACACUGGAAGGUAGACGGGCACCAGAGGACUGCGGGACGCAGCAGUAGGCAAGGUUCCGCAACGGGCGAAAGCAUUACGGAGCAGCCCCGAGUGAGUGAUGAAGGUCUUGGGAUCGGAAUGCUCUGCUAUGAGGGGAGAACAAAUGUGUAAGUAACCAUGCAGUUAGUGACGGUACCUAAUAAGAAAGCCACGGCUAACUACGUG